UCAGCUGGCGCAACUCUCCACCUCAGCACGCGCCACCACCCGCGGCCACCUCGGCGCCAGCCCCGGGGUGGCGCCUGAGGGCACCGGGGUCCGGCGGCCCUCCUGGCCCCGCCUCGCUCGCAGCCCGCCGGCGCCUGGGGCGUGAGGUUGCCAGCGUGAGCCCGCCGCGCGCAGGGGCCAGACCCGUGCGCAUCUCCUGGUGCCCGCGCGCUGUGCACUUCAGGGACCCACUGUUGGGGGCGGGGCGCGGGGGUGAAUUAUCCCGGGACAUUGCUAGUUUACAGUGUGACUCGCGCGAAGAAAGUGCGGCCCUGGGGCCCCUCCGGGACAGGGUGCCUUAUCGACCCCUCUUGAAGGGACGGAGACUCCGGUUCAGCCCCCGCGUGCCUGAUCUUCGGAGGAGUCUCUCUGCCAAUGAGCGUGUUAGCAGUCCGGCUGACGGAAGCGGCCUGGAGGGGCGGCGGGCCGGCCCGGCACCAGUCUCAGCGCCCGGCUGAGAGGAGGCAGGACGUUGGCUCACCUUCUCACCUCUGAGGAAGUCGGGGCUUUAACCCCGCGCACCGCCGACCUGAGGCCCAAAGGAGGGCCGGCCACCCAGGUGGGCCGGGCUGCCACUUCCCGGUCAGGUGGAGCCGAAAUGAUGUCAUUUCCACCAGUUUCUACUUUGCAAUUUAAGAUCGUGCUUUGAUUAUUAACCAAAGCUGAGGAAACUGAGACCGAGGCAGGGGCGCAGCUUACCCAGUGAAGCUUUUCCUGGGAGGCGCAAGGCUCCCGGUGGAGCCGGAAGAGCUGCCUGGAAAAGAGCCAGGCUGCCUCUUCCUGGUAUUCCUUGAACACUCUCGCCUUGGAGCCUUUGCACUGUAUUUCCUCUGCCUGGAAUGCUUUCCCUCAGCUGUCCGCAUGGCUCAUCCUUCACUCCCUUCAGGCUGUUCUCUUAAGCAGAGGAAGCCGAAUGAGGUUUAUGCAUGUCUUCCCAGCAUCCAGAGCGGGUUCCAGGAAGGUUGUGGCAUCCAGGUAGCCCUUUCACAAGAGUCCUGGUCAUGCUGACAUUCGAGGCUAUCUGUGCGUCACUGAGCCAGCUCUGUUCUCUCCACCUCAGGUACAACUAAUCUUAAGAAUCUCAUUAUGGGUCCAAAGAUAAUCCUCUAUAUCUAGAUUAAAGGCUGUGUUUUGACCAUUACCACACAUUGAGCAUUGAGCCGACAGUUUAAUUGAACUGUUUAUGCCGCUGCCUUGAUCUCUUCCCAGAGAAUUUACAACUAAUUCCGAGUGUCUCUGCGAAUUAAGUGGGCCUCUCCCAACAUGCUUUACUUGUAGUUUGCCUGUGCCAAAUCCCACCUGUCCUUGUGUUACCCAAUUAUGGGCUCUCGCUCACAGCUGUCUCUGACCAGUGCCACUUCCAGUCCACUUCCUCCCUGAGGUGGCCAUUAAGAUAUGGCUCUGAGAAUGGCCGUAUCCUAGGACAACCUCUGUGAUACCUGCAACAGUAGAAAGGGGGGUGGAGGUGAGGAUUGGCACAGGAGCAGAGAGGGUGUAAAUCAUACUGACUCCUUUGAAGUCACCUCCAGGCAACUGACAAUAACCCCCUAACAAGAAAAGGGUACAAGUGUCUUUAGCACAGUUAAGUGUGAUGGAAGGAAAAGAGCUCUGGACUGAGGUCAAGACUCCUGAGUUCUUAUCCCGGCCCUCUUCUGACUUCCUAUGUGACUUGGUGUUACUAUUUAUAAAAUAGGAGCUGGCAGAUCAUUGUUUCCCAUUCUGUGUUAUGGAAGUGUCUAAGGGUAGGGUUGCCAGAUCUAGAAAAAACAAAACAAUAGCAAAAAAGGACAUCCAUGCAAUAAUUGGGACAUACAGUGAAAUAUUAUUCGUUGUUUAUCUGAAAUUCCAAUUUAACUGGGUGUCCUAUAUUUAUCUGUCCAUGUGCGAGAUAAAAAAGGCUCCCAACCCCUAACCCAGCCUCUGCUAAUGAAAUGGACAAGAGCAGAUGUUCUUAACCCUGGCUGAACAUUAUAAUCACCUACAGAACUUAUACAGUACCCAGUGACCAGUCUGAAUUCCAGACCAGUUAAAUCAGAAUUUC